rnacentral:lncRNA from 1 species
GCCAGCAAAUGCUAUGAUAACAGUUAAAAAUUCUUAAAAUGAAACGAUGCAAUUGAUGUCCUUUAACAUGGAGACAAAUCAUUCGGCAAAAGAUGCUAAGACAGAAUACUAUGUGGGUGAAAUUUAUGGUUUUUUGUUGUGUUAUUAUGAAGGAAUUGAUGCAUACAAUACAAUGACGUAUGAACGCUGACAGAGGGAGAAUACAUCAAUCUUUGUCACGAAUGCAGUGAGUACAUGUUAAAAAUAUUUGUCUGCUAAAUUUCAUAUUUGACCACUAACAUCCUCCUAGGAGCUUCUAAUUGGUCCUUAAAACUGGUCCUCGUAUUCUUCGUUGUUCAAUUUGUUUUCAUUUGCUUGUCCUGACACUGAUCUGUUUUUAUUUCCAUUUUACUGUUAUAAGUUUAUUUUUGAAGUGACUAAUCUUUCGUAUAAAUCGAAACGGCAAGAUUGAGGAUUUUAACUGUGUGAAGCUCAUGGCUAAACGGUUUGAGAAAUGUCAGAUUGAUAUUCUCAAGUCGGCAUUUGAAGAGUCGGAGCAUUUGACCAGAGAGAAGAAGAUUGACUUGGUGAGGACUGCAGGUCUGGAUAUGGAGCAGAUUGCCAGCUGGUUCAACAGGAAAAGAGCGUGUAAGCGAGCUCGGAAAUCCAUAGGGGAUUGGGAACGAAAUAAUGCUGAUCUCCAGCUAGCACUGGAGGAGAGUAGAGAGAAGGAAGCUGAGCUCCAAAAGAAGCUUAACGAGAGUAAGCAGAGAGAAGCUGAACUUGAAGCAGAAAACCAGAGUUUAAAACAAUCUCUAGCGAUUUCUGGAGGUGAUAUGCGGUUUGAUUCUGUACUUGGGUUUUGCAGCGGAUCUCCAUAGUGUAUUUGAUGAUCAUAUUUUACGCCCACGAAGAUAAAGAGUAGUACAAUUAAUCCAUUUUCCAUGACCCAAGCAAAGUUACUGUUUAUGAGUAUUGUGGUUCAGCAAUAAAAGUUCUCAGUUUAUUGUUUUUCUUUUUCCUACUUCCGCCUUAUAUCCUUUUUCUUUCCCGUUAAUUCAUUACCAAAAAUU